CACUGCUAAAAUCCUGCCGGAAGCUUCUUUCAGACCAGCUCAGGGGACUCUCAACUUCCUUCCUCCAUUCCUUCAAUGUUGGAACUCCCAAGCCAAGAUGUCCUCAGGGGGCUGACAGCCAGGCCGGGGAGAGGAGGUGAUGGGCUCCCUCCCUCUGGAAAGAGGGGUCCCGGCACCAGGUGGUGAAGUGACCUCAAGCUUCUUCAGGGGUUCCUCACAUUGCCAGGACCCCGCGGCAAGAAAGAGGGCGGGCAGAUUCCAGCCUCCUGCUUUGGGGUCUGGGGCCCCUUCGACCACAGGCAAGUGACUCCCAGGUCCCCCUUUUCAAGUUCUUUGAAGACCCACAGAAUCAGGAAGAGGGAAAUGAAGAUAAUGGCCAUGCCAGAGAUGAGCUUCUGUACCACUUGGUCCUGGACCCCUCUCUGAACAGACACCCUAAGAUGCUGAGGCAUGGACUAAAAAUGACAGGACAGUGUCAAGUGCACUUACUCCCCCAUCCGGGCGCCACCCGCCUCCACCCUGCUGUCUUAUAUCUCCUGGGAGUCUGACCAGACUGGCUGCAUGGCCUGGACCUUCUGCGAGCUGCCUUUCAGCUGAGUCUACCCAGGAGGAAGUGCCUGCAACGUCAGGAGGCCAGGCAGAGACAGGGGUUGGGGUAUGUCUCCCAGUCCCCUCUGUACUCGGGGAUGCAUUUCUCUCUGUGGCCGUGUCCCUCCUCCCGGGUGCCCCUGCUGUGGCUCCCACAGCACUGUUUGCCCCUGUUUCUGUCCUGUGGGUGCUCCUGCUGUGCCGGCCUAGAACACCCCACUAUUCUUUACUUGUUGGCUGAUUGUGCCCACGCCUCUGUAAAUACAGGAGUUCUCACUUUGCAGAGUCAUUUUGGGACUUAAAACAAUGACCGUACAAGCUGAAACCAUGCAAAACCAACUUCAUAAUCAAUGGGAAAGUCACAUUUGUGCUGUGACCUUUCAAAAUUUUGUCAGAUUACAACCCUCUUACGGCCGGUAAGAGAAAAGUAGUGCAAGUUAGUAUUAAAUACCCUAAUUUGAAACAUUCGAAAUAUCGAGAAUGAAAGUAGUUCUUUGUAAAAGUCUUAUCAAGAGCAGUUUGAACAGUGCUUGCCUGGUCCUUGUCACAUGUUACACGGAGUGAGCCUGGACAAAUCGUCAGACUCCUUUCUAAGUUUGGAUCAGCUUCCAACAUUUUAUCCGUUUUAUUUUCAAUGUCACAAAAUAUCCCCAAGAGUUCCUUUAAUGCAGGUUUUUGCUGGUGUCACUUCCUCUGGGAUAUCUUCAUGCCUUUGUCAUUUUCUUCACUUCCUCAUUAACGUAUUAAGUUCAGCUUCCCCAAGUCCCUCCAGCUGCAUAUCCAGAGACUCAAAUGGCAGUAGUGGCCACCCUCCCACAGGUGGCUAUCAUUUCUUCUGUAACUCCAUUUACAGUCUCUUCAAAUUUCACUUCCCACAUUAUCACUUUUCAUUUCUUUGCUUCAUUUUCAUCUUUAUUGGCCAUUCAUGGAAAUGAUCUAUUUAAUGAUCCAUUUUUGUAAAAUGUCACAUGAGUUUAUCGCCGGGAGACAAGGAAGCAACACAACCGCACACUCUGCUUAUCUGUGCACGAACUGAAUAACACACAUGCAGUGACCAGUCACCAACAGGCUUUGAAAGAGGCGACAUGAUUGGUCAGUGAUCAGACUAUGCACCUGUAAUCUCCAUAGUGAUUUGUGGACCGAAGAGCUAGCAGUUCAAUUGUACUUUAGCAACUGCAGCCUUUUGCAAUUGCUCAGUUACCACCGUGUUCCCCCAAAAUAAGACCGGGUCUUACAUUAAUUUUUCCUCCAAAAAAUUAGGGCUUAUGUUCAGGGGAUGUCAUCCUGAAAAAUAAUGCUAGGGCUUAUUUUCCAGUUAGGUCUUACUUUCAGGGAAACGAAGUAUACCAAUGGAACUGAAAUCUUAACCACCUUUUUGAGGGACUGGUUGUCAUGCAGGGACUCUGGUCCUGCUCCCUGCACCAGAACGCAGGAUAUGGUGAAGGCUCCAUAUCAACGGAGCCUUGAUAGGGGAGUCAUAUCACUAUAUUCUC